GCACGGUGUGAGCAGGUCAGGUGUGGUGCAGUGUGAUAGUGGAAUAUGCAUCAUGCGUGACCUCCCUACACAGC